AUCGCCCGGGAACUACGAGCAAAGCUUAAAACCCAAAGGACUUGACGGUACCCCACAUCCACCUAGAGGAGCCUGUCCUAUAAUCGAUAACCCCCGUUCAACCUCACCAUUUUUAGCUUAUCAGCCUGUAUACCUCCGUCGUCAGCUUACCACGUGAGCGACUUCCAGUGAGCUUAAUGCCCAUACGCCAACACGUCAGGUCAAGGUGCAGCAGAUAAAAUGGGAAGAGAUGGGCUACACUCUCUAUUCUAGAAAAUACGGAAGACUAUUUAUGAAACCUAGUCAGAAGGCGGAUUUAGUAGUAAAAAGAGAUAAGAGCGCUCUUUUUAACAUGGCACUGGGGUGUGUACACACCGCCCGUCACCCUCUUCAAAGCUAAUAUAAAGUUCUUAACACACUUAAGCACUACAGAAGAGGCAAGUCGUAACAUGGUAAGUAUACCGGAAGGUGUGCUUGGAAA
rnacentral:rRNA from 1 species